rnacentral:rRNA from 1 species
UACGUAGGGGGCAAGCGUUGUUCGGAUUCAUUGGGCGUAAAGGGUGCGUAGGCGGCGCGGUAAGUCGGGUGUGAAAUCUCGGGGCUUAACUCCGAAACUGCAUUCGAUACUGCCGUGCUUGAGGACUGGAGAGGAGACUGGAAUUUACGGUGUAGCGGUGAAAUGCGUAGCUAUCGUAAGGAAGACCAGUGGCGAAGGCGGGUCUCUGGACAGUUCCUGACGCUGAGGCACGAAGGUCAGGGGAGCAAACGGG